rnacentral:lncRNA from 1 species
AACAGUCAGAAAUAUGUUUCAAACAUUGAAGGAGGAAAGGCCUCUGGCUUCAUGACUUUCCAGAACAGGUCAACUCAAACUAUGUCAACCAUUUGGAAAAGAACAUAGACUACUCCUAACUAGUGGAACUUAUAAGAAGAUAUAGUUGCAUUUAUAAAUAGAUCUAGGAAGUUACAAUAUAAGCCGUGUCUCCCCCUUUUUCUCAAGAAAAAUCCAACAAAGCAUUGCUCCUAGUGGAUUUAUUUGUUUCACACGGCGUCCAAAACUGGGGAAUAAAAUUUAUGUCCGAAGCUGUUUAUUUACCUGAGCUUUGAGUGAGGCAUGCAAUAAAGAGAUACAUUUCAAGUGAGAACUAAUGGAGUCUCGCGAUAAUUCCACUGAAAUUCCUAGUAGGUGCGAGUCAUCAGCUCGCAUUGACUACACCCCCGCCCUUCCAGGACUAAUGGAUACUCACUUUUUAUAUUGUGAAGAGUACAUGAGAACAAUACACAUACUCACCUUCUUGGGGCAAAAUCUGCAUUAGGUUAUUGUUGGACCAACAUUUAUCUACCUGCUUUUCAGGUGGGACUCAUCAGGAAGAUAUAUGUUUAGGCAUGGGUUCAUAAAAUUUG